AUGCUUUUACAUAACAAACCCUUCACGUGUUCGACACCCUUUCUCGAUCUUGUGAGUGGCUCUGAAAAGAGCCUUUGGGUUUCCGGGCACCGAGGUGCACCUCAUUUAGAGCUGGUAUAUUUGGUGACAGCUUUGGUACCUUCCGACACAGCGUGUUUGGCCAACUCGCCGGGCAACAGCAGGCGCACAGCCGUCUGCACCUCCCGGGACGUAAUGGUAGAACAGGCUUCGGAUGACGCUCUGCCGGGGCACACAGCCCAGGGCAGCUGCUGUCUCCUCGCCCUGCAACGAUGCAGGCAGAGCCGAGGCUGCGGCGGGUGGACAGGCCUCGGCCUCCUCAGGCAGGCUGGCCGAAGGCCUCAGGAAGCCCCGGGGAUGCAGCAGCGGGGAGUGGGUCACUGGGGAGGACGGCAGCGACUUGGCCCGGGCGAACGGGGCCAACUCGUUGUCGGAGGAGGAGGAGCUGCUGGAGGAGCCGCUGGCAUCGCCACGCAGGUGCCGGGCAAUCCCGAGGGAUGGGCUGUCGGGCGGGCCCUGGAGCAGCUCUGGGAUGGAACGCAUCACCAGGAUGGACUUGUAGCUCAUCAGGGAGCGCUGGGGGCGUGGAGAACAGGGGCCCGUCAGCAGGGGACCCGCUGCCUUCCCAGUCCAGAGGGGAUCUCAGGAAACGGUGGGCCUUAAAACACAUGGUCCCCAGGGCUCCGUUAUCUUGUCCCCACCUUGCAGAGAUGUUGCAUGUUGCCCCGCCUCACCCUGCUGGCUCAGGGAGCAAAGACUUGAAAUGAAGGGUGCCCCGCCCCACUCUCUUGCUCUGCAGACCCAGAAGGGACACAGAGCCAGCCCUCUGGGCCUCAUUUCCCUCUCUGGCCUCCGGCCGCUUCUGCACCCAGCCCCUCACCCCUCCACAAGGCAGUGCGGCCCACCUGCCAGUGGGCCAGGAGGAACUUCAGCUGCUUGGUGUUGAUGAAGUGGGCCUCCUCCGCGGGCACAGACUUCUGGGGGCGCCCAGGUGAGAGAUCCUCGUUGGGGGUGUGGGGAGCCCCUGGGGCAUCCUGCAGCCCAGGCAGGCCCCCACUCCUCUUGGCCUCACUUUCCCUCCCUGCGAGCCAGGCCAGCCCACAUUCAGCCUACUCACCCGGAACCAGGGGUGGGCGAGGCACUUGGCAGCACUGGGCCGAGCCCUGGGCNNNNNNNNNNNNNNNNNNNNNNNNNNNNNNNNNNNNNNNNNNNNNNNNNNNNNNNNNNNNNNNNNNNNNNNNNNNNNNNNNNNNNNNNNNNNNNNNNNNNAAGGUCCAGGUCAGCCCAAGCGGUCGCCUGGCCACUGAGGCAGGCGCGGGACCUCAGAUGUGCGUACUCACCCCACGGCCUUCUGCAGAGCAGCCUUGAUAAAGUCCUGGGCAUCCUCACUGAGGUGGGCGGCCAUGGGGCUACUCCAGGACACCCGCCCUUCCAGGACAUUCAGAAGCGUUGCUCGGUCACUCUCUCCAGCAAAUGGGGAUGAACAGGUCAGGCUGGAAGCAGAGACAUGGCUAGCCUUCAGCUGUGACCUGAAUUUCUGGGUCCGUGGGAGGCAGGUUGGCAGGACAGGGGUCUCAUAGGGAUGUAGUGACUGGGGGCCCCCAGCCCUGACUGGAGAUGCCUCCUGACACCUCUCUCCUUCAGCCCUGAGAAUCCCAGCAUGUGUCUCAGAUUUGCCCAGAGAUCCAGCUUGGAGCUGGGAUCCAGGCUAAGCCUGGAGUGGGUAUCUGGUCUUAGGCUGGGGUGAGGAUCCAGGUUGGCCUGGGAUAAGGGAUCAAGUGUCAUCUGGAGUGGGCACCUGGACUUAGCCUGAGAUGGCGAUCAGGGGUCCACCUGCAGAGUGAACCCAGGCUCAGUCCUCAUCACUAACACCCUCGGGACAGCAACAGCUGUUAAAAGGGACCUCUGGACAAGCUACCCGGACCCUUUAGGGAAAGAGCUCCGUGCUCUGCCCCAUGACCUAGCAGAGGUCCUCUGUGACAGGGUGUGAGUGAGCAGCGCUUGGCAGAAACCCCGUAUCAGAACUGGCUGACGGCAUGUUCCCAACAUAGCUGCCCCUCGGGUCUUGCGUCUCUGAGUUAAGGAGCAGUCAGCAGUUCAACAGCUUCCCAUUGGCCUGCUGAGGAGGGGUCUGGGCUGGCUUUGGAGGAGAGAGUAGACAGGAGCAGGGGUCUGCUCACCUGAGGUAGGUGAUGACCCCCAUGGCCCUGCAGAACAAAAUCACAGCCGUGAGUCUCUCCAGACCUGGUCCGAUGAGGAGGAGGAGGAGGAGGCAGAGGGCGGGCAAACCCACCCCCACCCACCCACUCACCAGAUGUCGGAAGCCGCGUUCGGGUCUGUUCGAUGAUCUCGGGGGCCACAAACUCAGGGGAGCCAUACUUGCUGUACUGUGGCUCUCCCGGGGUGAUUUUUUGGGCAAAGCCAAAAUCACAGAUUUUAAUGUCUUCCCGAGCAGGAUGCACCAUCAGGAUGUUGGGGGGCUGUCAGGCAGAGUCGGGAGUGGCUGAGCACACCCUGAGGAAAGAAUCCUCAGGGCUCCCAGGCCUGGGGAGGACACUCAGGGGACCCUGAGGAGCUGUCCCCGCAGGAGGGUGAGGCCAGCGUGAGGCCAUAGGCAGCCCUGGGAGCAGGUUUCAGCGCCCUUGGGGAUAGCUUCUACUCCAUCAGAGCUGCCCUCCACCUGAAGGUGAAGGGGCUGCUGUAAGGCGGUGAGCUCCCUGUCCCCAGAGAUGAGGAAGUCCGCAGAGGGAACUGGAAGCGAUGGGCCUUCUCCUGCUCAGCCCUAGGCCCCAGGCUUCCAGCAGCUCCUCCCUGGGCUUGGGCAGCAGGGAGCCGCGUACCUUUAUGUCCAGGUGAAGGAUGCCUUGGCUGUGUAGGUAGUGCAGCCCCUCCACCAGCUGCUGGAUGUAGACCUUGACCUGCGGCAGAGCCGGUGCUCAGCCAGCCUCCAGCACCCCUCUCCUCACCUCCCCCCUGCAGGACAGGUUCCAUGCAAAGCCCCGGGGAGCCUGUAGUUGGGAGAUUCCUCUAGGCCCCCAGGUGGAUGGGUUUGGGUGUGUGGAGCAGCUUGAACAAAGCGGGAGGCGGCUGGGGGAGCAGGCAAGGGCUGGGCAGCUCGGUCAGCGCCGUCAGGGGUGGAGAAGCAGGGAGCCCCGGCCACGGGAGGGCUGUGAGAGCCCACAGGAGCUGCAGCAGCCUGUGAGGGUCUCUGCUGGGGAGCUAGUCUGAGGGACAGGAGGCCUGGCCAGGCCCACACGUAGCCCUGCAGCUGGAUGGGCAGCCGGGCAGCAGCAGUCACCUCGGCCUCGGUCACCACACUCUUCUUGAACAGGCGGUCCAGCAGUUCAUCUGACGAACACCUGGGAGUCCGUUAAGGAAAGCUCUAGGCUCUGGAACCCUUGAAGCCUAGCGCCGCCUGGGGGGGUCUAAUCUCCAGGAAGGGGUGGGGGCUAUGCUGGGGAGGCUGCUGCUUGCGGCUGAGGAGGUUGGGAGGGACAAAGCCCCCCAAGUACAGGGACGGAGGACAGUGGGAGGCAGCAGAGUGGGGGAGUGGCACGGCCCCCCCCCGCUCCUGCAGGGGAUGCUGGGGGUGGGGGAGGGUGUGGUGAGCAUACAGGACCCUCAGCUGGGCCAGGAGCAGCGGAUGGGUGGGGCGGGGCGUGUGCCCCUCCCUGGAGCGUGCAUUGGCAUGCAAAGACGCAUCAGUGCCUGGGGCAUGCCGGAGAAAAGUAAGAAGCCCAAGUUUCCUGCUGGAGGCCAAUGCCGGGAGCAGGAGGAGACAGACUUCUUGAUGAAGCCCUGCCCGAAUUCCCUACCCAAGGGACUGGGAGCUGGGAGCUAUGCGCAGUGGCAGUACCUCCGGGGGGUGGAGGGGCCAGGGGCGUGCAGAUAGUCCGGAAACAUCGCAAUGCCAGCGGCACGGGCUGCCCCCAUCAGGCAGUUGGGCCUGGGCCACCGGCACCGCAGACCCCACCCAGCCCUGCAGACCACUGUCUGCCGGGGGCACUCCCACCCACCUCCCCCCCGCCACCUGACACCCUCAGGGUGAGGUGGGAUACAGCUCCAGGAUGAGGAUCAGGGUCUUCCGCGUCUCAAACUGGUCCAGCAGCGCAGUGACCAGCGGGUGGCUCAGGCCUGCUAGAAUGUCGCGCUCCCGAUAAGCCUGGGCACGCGUCCUGCUCCGCAGCGGAAUGAACUUGGCAGCACAGGCCAUCUGGUUGCCCUUGUGCUGCACCCUCUUCACGAAGCCGAACACACCCCUGCGGGGAGGGGACAGCGCGCUGGGGGCCCGGGGGCA
ensembl:lincRNA